AUUGAACGCUGGCGGCAGGCCUAAUACAUGCAAGUCGAACGAGUGGCGGACGGGUGAGUAAUGUCUGGGAAACUGCCCGAUGGAGGGGGAUAACUACUGGAAACGGUAGCUAAUACCGCAUACCAUCGGAUGUGCCCAGAUGGGAUUAGCUAGUAGGUGGGGUAACGGCUCACCUAGGCGACGAUCCCUAGCUGGUCUGAGAGGAUGACCAGCCACACUGGAACUGAGACACGGUCCAGACUCCUACGGGAGGCAGCAGUGGGGAAUAUUGCACAAUGGACGCGAGCCUGAUGCAGCCAUGCCGCGUGUGUGAAGAAGGCCUUCGGGUUGUAAAGUACUUUCAGCGGGGAAGCGUUACUCGCAGAAAAAGCACCGGCUAACUCCGUGCCAGCAGCCGCGGUAAUAC
rnacentral:rRNA from 1 species